rnacentral:rRNA from 1 species
UUGGGCGUAAAGCGCGUCUAGGUGGUUAUGUAAGUCUGAUGUGAAAAUGCAGGGCUCAACUCUGUAUUGCGUUGGAAACUGCAUGACUAGAGUACUGGAGAGGUAAGCGGAACUACAAGUGUAGAGGUGAAAUUCGUAGAUAUUUGUAGGAAUGCCGAUGGGGAAGCCAGCUUACUGGACAGAUACUGACGCUAAAGCGCGAAAGCGUGGGUAGCAAACAGGAUUAGAUACCCUGGUAGUCCACGCCGUAAACGAUGAUUACUAGGUGUUGGGGGUCGAACCUCAGCGCCCAAGCUAACGCGAUAAGUAAUCCGCCUGGGGAGUACGUACGCAAGUAUGAAACUCAAAGGAAUUGACGGGGACCCGCACAAGCGGUGGAGCAUGUGGUUUAAUUCGACGCAACGCGAGGAACCUUACCAGCGUUUGACAUCUUAGGAAUGAGACAGAGAUGUUUCAGUGUCCCUUCGGGGAAACCUAAAGACAGGUGGUGCAUGGCUGUCGUCAGCUCGUGUCGUGAG